rnacentral:rRNA from 1 species
GUGGGGAAUCUUAGACAAUGGGGGCAACCCUGAUCUAGCCAUGCCGCGUGAUCGAUGAAGGCCUUAGGGUUGUAAAGAUCUUUCAGCUGGGAAGAUAAUGACGGUACCAGCAGAAGAAGCCCCGGCUAACUCCGUGCCAGCAGCCGCGGUAAUACGGAGGGGGCUAGCGUUGUUCGGAAUUACUGGGCGUAAAGCGCACGUAGGCGGAUUGGAAAGUUGGAGGUGAAAUCCCAGGGCUCAACCUUGGAACUGCCUUCAAAACUCCUGGUCUGGAGUUCGAGAGAGGUGAGUGGAAUUCCGAGUGUAGAGGUGAAAUUCGUAGAUAUUCGGAGGAACACCAGUGGCGAAGGCGGCUCACUGGCUCGAUACUGACGCUGAGGUGCGAAAGCGUGGGGAGCAAACAGGAUUAGAUACCCGAGUAGUCC